CGUGAGUAACCUGCCUUGGAGUGGGGGAAUAACAGCUGGAAACAGCUGCUAAUACCGCAUAAAACGUCUGUGUCGCAUGGCACUGGACGUCAAAGAUUUAUCGCUCUGAGAUGGACUCGCGUCUGAUUAGCUAGUUGGUGGGGCAACGGCCCACCAAGGCGACGAUCAGUAGCCGGACUGAGAGGUUGGCCGGCCACAUUGGGACUGAGACACGGCCCAGACUCCUACGGGAGGCAGCAG
rnacentral:rRNA from 1 species